rnacentral:rRNA from 1 species
AAUAGAUACCCGGGUAGUCCACGCCGUAAACGAUGGAUGCUAGCUGUUAUGAGUAUCGACCCUUGUAGUAGCGAAGCUAACGCGUUAAGCAUCCCGCCUGUGGAGUACGAGCGCAAGCUUAAAACAUAAAGGAAUUGACGGGGACCCGCACAAGCGGUGGAGCGUGUUGUUUAAUUCGGUGAUAAGCGAAGAACCUUACCAAGGCUUGACAUCCCUGGAAUUUCUCCGAAAGGAGAGAGUGCCUUCGGGAAUCAGGUGACAGGUGAUGCAUGGCCGUCGUCAGCUCGUGUCGUGAGAUGUUGGUUAAGUCCAUCAACGAGCGCAACCCUUGUAAAUAGUUGAAUUUUUCUAUUUAGACUGCCUCGGUAACGGGGAGGAAGGAGGGGAUGAUGUCAGGUCAGUAUUCCCUUACGCCUUGGGCUACAAACACGCUACAAUGGCCGGUACAAAGGGCAGCCAACCCGCGAGGGGGAGCAAAUCCCAUCAAAACCGGUCUCAGUUCGGAUAGCAGGCUGAAAUUCGCCUGCUUGAAGCCGGAAUCGCU